rnacentral:rRNA from 1 species
UACGUAGGGUCCAAGCGUUAUCCGGAUUUAUUGGGCGUAAAGGGCUCGUAGGCGGCCCGUCGCGUCCGGUGUGAAAGUCCAUCGCUCAACGGUGGAUUCGCGCCGGGUACGGGCGGGCUGGAGUGCAGUAGGGGAGACUGGAAUUCCCGGUGUAACGGUGGAAUGUGUAGAUAUCGGGAAGAACACCAAUGGCGAAGGCAGGUCUCUGGGCUGUUACUGACGCUGAGGAGCGAAAGCGUGGGGAGCGAACAGG